rnacentral:rRNA from 1 species
UACAGAGGGUGCGAGCGUUGUUCGGAAUCAUUGGGCGUAAAGGGCGUGUAGGCGGUUUGUUAAGUCAUGUGUGAAAUCCCUCGGCUCAACCGGGGAACGACGCAUGAAACUGGCAAGCUAGAGUACCAAAGAGGGGGGUGGAAUUCCCGGUGUAGCGGUGAAAUUCGUAGAUAUCGGGAGGAACACCAGUGGCGAAGGCGCUGACCUGGACGAUGAUUGACGCUGAGGCGCGAAAGCGUGGGGAGCAAACAGG